AGCGAACGCUGGCGGCAGGCCUAAUACAUGCAAGUCGAACGGCUCUUCGGAGCAGUGGCGGACGGGUGAGUAACGCGUGGGAACGUGCCCUUUGGUUCGGCACAACACAGGGAAACUUGUGCUAAUACCGAAUGUGCCCUUCGGGGGAAAGAUUUAUCGCCAUUGGAGCGGCCCGCGUUGGAUUAGCUAGUUGGUGGGGUAAAGGCCCACCAAGGCGACGAUCCAUAGCUGGUCUGAGAGGAUGAUCAGCCACACUGGGACUGAGACACGGCCCAGACUCCUACGGGAGGCAGCAGUAGGGAAUCUUGCGCAAUGGGCGAAAGCCUGACGCAGCCAUGCCGCGUGAAUGAUGAAGGUCUUAGGAUUGUAAAAUUCUUUCACCGGGGAAGAUAAUGACGGUACCCGGAGAAGAAGCCCCGGCUAACUUCGUG
rnacentral:rRNA from 1 species